rnacentral:rRNA from 1 species
CCUACGGGAGGCAGCAGUGAGGAAUAUUGGUCAAUGGCCGGAAGGCUGAACCAGCCAUGCCGCGUGAAGGUCAGUGCCCCAUGGGCGUUAAACCUCUUUUGUGCGGGAGCAAUAAUGGUCACGUGUGGCCAGACGAGAGUACCGUACGAAUAAGCAUCGGCUAACUCCGUGCCAGCAGCCGCGGUAAUACGGGGGAUGCAAGCGUUAUCCGGAAUUAUUGGGUUUAAAGGGUGCGUAGGCUGUGAGGUAAGUCAGCGGUGAAAUGCCCCCGCUCAACGGGGUGAAGUGCCAUUGAUACUGGCUUGCUGGAAUGCGGAUGCCGUAGGAGGAAUGUGUGGUGUAGCGGUGAAAUGCAUAGAUAUCACGCAGAACACCGAUUGCGAAGGCAUCUCACGAAUCCGCGAUUGACGCUGAUGCACGAAAGCGUGGGUAUCAAACAGGAUUAGAUACCCCAGUAGUC